rnacentral:rRNA from 1 species
GAUGAACGCUGGCGGCGUGCCUAAUACAUGCAAGUCGAGCGAACAGAUAAGGAGCUUGCUCCUUUGACGUUAGCGGCGGACGGGUGAGUAACACGUGGGUAACCUACCUAUAAGACUAGGAUAACUUCGGGAAACCGGAGCUAAUACCGGAUAACAUUUGGAACCGCAUGGUUCUAAAGUGAAAGAUGGUUUUGCUAUCGCUUAUAGAUGGACCCGCGCCGUAUUAGCUAGUUGGUAAGGUAACGGCUUACCAAGGCGACGAUACGUAGCCGACCUGAGAGGGUGAUCGGCCACACUGGAACUGAGACACGGUCCAGACUCCUACGGGAGGCAGCAGUAGAGAAUCUUCCGCAAUGGGCGAAAGCCUGACGGAGCAACGCCGCGUGAGUGAUGAAGGGUUUCGGCUCGUAAAACUCUGUUAUUAGGGAAGAACAAAUGUGUAAGUAACUGUGCACGUCUUGACGGUACCUAAUCAGAAAGCCACGGCUAACUACGUGCCAGCCGCCGCAGUAA